AGCACAUCAGCUCCUGGAAACAAAUGCACUUAACCAGAAAAACAGGGACAUCAACCAGCAAAGAUGCAUCCUCAUUUAAUAGAGCUUGAAAUUACUAUAAUCUGUAAAGUACAGCGAGAAGAAGAAGUUUCACCUGCCUGCACAUCUGUCGUUGACUCUCCAUCUGACUUGGAGGGACUCUGAGGGACCAACCUGAGCCUGAGAAGAGGCAAGAUUCCCCUUCAAGGACACACUGGGAACUUACGGACCUCUUUCUCCAUGGUGCAGAGCGCAGAGGUGAACAAACAGACGCAUAAUAGCUCUUGAGCUUGCCAUUGGGAAGUGAAAAUCAACUGCUUGAAUAAAUGUAGACAUCACCUUGUGACUCAACAGCAGCCAAUAAGAUGGAAAUAAAGGCCAUGAAGUUAUCGGAUGGCAUCUACAAGGAAUACUUAGAUGAGGAGGUGACUCUGGUAGCAAUUGUUCUUUUGUCUUUCUCACCUUCCUUCUUGUCCUGUCUGGGAUGCUGAAGUGAUGGCUGGUAUACAGAUGCCCUGUUGUGAUGUUGAGAUAAACAUGAGAAUAAAAGUCGGCGAUUACAGAUGGCAGAGAAGAGAGAGAAAGAUAGGAUGUAGGUGGAUAUUGACGGAACUAAGUUUCUAUUGCACAAGUUCUACCACCAACCUCUGGACUUCAUGAUAUGUGAGGGAGAAAUAAACUCCUAUUUUAGAAGAGAUCUAUGUUACCUGCAACUGAACGGAAUGCUUAAUUGGCACAUCCUAUGUGCUCCAAACCUUCCUUAAUUUCUGUGUGUAAGGCAUACUUAGUCUUUACCCAUUAUUCUGUUCACAUUCAUUCACUUGAUCAGCCUCCCAACUCUAUGGUAAAGAGUUUACUACAGUUUACUCUAUUAGUAAGGGAGAUUCUGGAGCAAGCCCCACAAAUCAUAGAUUGAAUACCCAUUCAUUAAGAGAGAGAUUUAAAGAUACUUCUAUCCAAACACAUUUUAAAUUUCCAGCACCUUUGAGGUGGUGGAGGUUCAUGGUGGUUGAUAGGGUUUAAAUGACUUGUGAUUCAAGCUCCAUAUUACAAUGUAACAGUGCAAAAGUUCAUUUUUUUAAAUUUAUUUUACUUUAAGUUCUGGUAUACAUGUGUAGAACAUGCGGGUUUGUUACAUAGGUAUACAUGUGCCAUGGUGGUUUGCUGCACCUAUCAAACCGUCACCUAGGUUUUAAGAACCACAUGCAUUAGGUAUUUGACCUAAUGCUCUCCCUCAUGUUGCCCCCCAACUCCCUGACAGGGCCCAGUGUGUGAUGUUCCCCUCCCUGUGUCCAUGUGUUCUCAUUGUUCAACUCCCACUUAUGAGUGAGAACAUGUGGUGUUUGAUUUUCUGUUCCUGUGUUAGUUUGCUGAGAAUGAUGGCUUCCAGCUUCAUCCAUGUCCCUGCAAAGGACACGAACUCAUUCUUUUUUAUGGCUUCAUAAUAUUCCAUGAGUCUGGAUUUGGUUACAGAUAGAGCUGGACAAGCCUUAGCUAUAUCUAAUGGCUUUUGACAUGUUAUAUCAAUUUCUUACUGCUUUUGUAAAUGAAUAUAUUAAGAAGAAAAAAUUACAAAUGACCCUUUCUUCACAAACUUUUAGGGUAAUCAAGUUCAGUUAUUAAAAAAUGGAUGUUUGCAACAUUCAUAGUAAUUAUUUUCAGAAAAUUAAAAAUGAUUAAAAAUUAUAUUUUCAUCCCAUUCAGAUAUUAUAUAUUUAACUGUGAGAUAAUUCUCAGAGAUAAAUGUCAACUUUUAAAAAAUGCUAAAUAAAUUAAAUCAAAAUAUCCCCUCUAAAAUAAAUAAAUUAGCUCCGAUUAUUUCUUCUUUUUAAAUUUUUCCUUAUAGUUGUAAAAAUAAAGUGAACGUUUUGGCUCAUUUCCUCAUUAAAGUUUGAAUUUUCCAGUCA
ensembl:lncRNA LINC00507 long intergenic non-protein coding RNA 507